rnacentral:rRNA from 1 species
UACGAAGGGGGCUAGCGUUGCUCGGAAUCACUGGGCGUAAAGCGCACGUAGGCGGAUUGUUAAGUCAGGGGUGAAAUCCUGGAGCUCAACUCCAGAACUGCCUUUGAUACCGGCGAUCUCGAGUCCGGGAGAGGUGAGUGGAACUGCGAGUGUAGAGGUGAAAUUCGUAGAUAUUCGCAAGAACACCAGUGGCGAAGGCGGCUCACUGGCCCGGUACUGACGCUGAGGUGCGAAAGCGUGGGGAGCAAACAGG